CAGAGGAGUGUGCCCUUCCGAAAACUUGUGAACAAAUAAUGUCUCCAGAAGAUGUCUGAUGUAGUGUAAACAGUGACAGAAGCAGGCCAAGCUGCAAAAGAAAGGAAAAAAAGUAAAAUUAAGGUUCACCAGUGGAGCCACGCACGUGCCUCAGGUGUUGACAAGAUACCAAGAGCUUGCAGUGUCCUGCUGCAGCCCAGGAGCGGACCUCAUAAAACAACCAGUGAAGUUGUAGUUUCCAGUAUUGAUCAAGGAGAAGAUGGAUGCUGAGACCAGCUUACUAAUAAGAGUGUCCUCUUCGUAGACCAUUAAUUAUCUUUUGUUCUCUUCAUUGUACAUCAAUACAAGCACUUUACAAAUAUGCAAAGGCAAAGCAGUGAGAGACCACCCUUAGUUUGUUUAAAGCAGGAUGGAUUUCGGCUCUUAUUCGGUAUGUAUCUUCUACAAUCUGAUGGUCAAGCCCCCUUUUCCCUACAACUUCUUCACUUGUAGUCUAACACCUGAUUUAAAGUGUAGUCAGCUUUCCAGAAUUCAGAAAUUCUGCCACUCCAGUUGCUCAUUAACCACUGCCCCAUCUUCAGCCACAGUAAAUUUGUUCAAAAGGGUGACAUCAGUUUAUUGCAGCUGAGGAUCUGGCUGCAAGACAGCUAACC